CAGCACCUCAAGUGGUCAGGAUGAUUAUUGGGCCUAAAGCAUCCGUAGCCGGCGCUGUAAGUUUUCGGUUAAAUCUGUACGCUCAACGUACAGGCUGCCGGGAAUACUGCAGCGCUAGGGAGUGGGAGAGGUAGACGGUACUCGGUAGGAAGGGGUAAAAUCCUUUGAUCUAUUGAUGACCACCUGUGGCGAAGGCGGUCUACCAGAACACGUCCGACGGUGAGGGAUGAAAGCUGGGGGAGCAACCCGGAUUAGAUACCCGAGUAGUCC
rnacentral:rRNA from 1 species